rnacentral:rRNA from 1 species
CGGUAAAACGCGCUGGAGGACCGAACCCACGUAAGUUGAAAAUUGCGGGGAUGAGUUGUGGGUAGCGGUGAAAUUCCAAACGAACUUGGAGAUAGCUGGUUCUCUCCGAAAUAGCUUUAGGGCUAGCCUCGCAAAGAGGAUGCUGGAGGUAGAGCUCUGUUUGGACUAGGGGCCCGUCAAGGGUUACUGAAUUCAGAUAAACUGCGAAUUCCAGACAUUUAUGUGCGGGAGUCAGACUGCGAGUGAUAAGAUCCGUAGUCGAAAGGGAAACAGCCCAGAUCACCAGUUAAGGUCCCAAAAUUCAUGCUAAGUGGAAAAGGAUGUGGAGUUGCGCAGACAACUAGGACGUUGGCUCAGAAGCAGCCAUCAUUCAAAGAGUGCGUAAUAGCUCACUAGUCGAGUGACGCCGCGCCGAAAAUUUACCGGGGCUAAGCAUGAUACCGAAACUGUGGAUGUGCAUUUAUGCACGUGGUAGGAGAGCGUUCUAGCGGCGGUGAAGCAUGACCGAGAGGACAUGUGGAGCUUCUAGAAGUGAGAAUGCCGGUAUGAGUAACGAAAGACAGGUGAGAAUCCUGUCCGCCGCAAGACUAAGGUUUCCUGGGGCAGGCUCGUCCGCCCAGGGUAAGUCGGGACCUAAGGCGAGGCCGAGAGGCGUAGUCGAUGGACAACAGGUUGAAAUUCCUGUACUGCACCGAAUCGUUAUGAGCGAUGGAGGGACGCAGGAGGCUAGCAGCGCGUGGUGCUGGAUACCACGUUCAAGCGUCAAGUCUGAGAGCGAGUCAAAUGCUUGCUCUCAUAAGGACAAGGCGUGAUGAGGAGCGAAAUUAAAGUAGCGAAGGCUGCGACGUCACACUGCCGAGAAAAGCUUCUAGCCAGAGACGGUGCACCCGUACCGCAAACCGACACAGGUAGUCGAGGAGAGUAUCCUCAGGUGAGCGAGAGAACUCUCGUUAAGGAACUCGGCAAAAUGGCCCCGUAACUUCGGGAGAAGGGGCGCUGGUCGCAAGAUCAGCCGCAGUGAAAAGGCCCAAGCAACUGUUUAUCAAAAACACAGGCAUCUGCAAAAUCGUAAGAUGAAGUAUAGGUGCUGACACCUGCCCGGUGCUGGAAGGUUAAGAGGAGAGCUUAGCGCAAGCGAAGGUUUGAAUUGAAGCCCCAGUAAACGGCGGCCGUAACUAUAACGGUCCUAAGGUAGCGAAAUUCCUUGUCGGGUAAGUUCCGACCUGCACGAAAGGUGUAAUGAUUUGGGCACUGUCUCAACGAGAGACUCGGUGAAAUUAUAAUACCCGUGAAGAUGCGGGUUACCCGCGACAGGACGGAAAGACCCCAUGGAGCUUUACUGCAGUUUAAUAUUGGGUAUCUGUCAAGCAUGUACAGGAUAGGUAGGAGCCGGAGAAGAUAGGACGCCAGUCUUAUCAGAGGCGCUGUUGGGAUACUACCCUUGCUUGACGGAUGCUCUAACUCAGGCCUGUGAUCCAGGCCGAGGACAGUGUUUGACGGGCAGUUUGACUGGGGCGGUCGCCUCCUAAAGUGUAACGGAGGCGCCCAAAGGUUCCCUCAGAAUGGUUGGAAAUCAUUCGCAGAGUGUAAAGGUAAAAGGGAGCUUGACUGCGAGAGAGACAACUCGAGCAGGUACGAAAGUAGGGCUUAGUGAUCUGGUGGUACCGUAUGGAAGGGCCAUCACUCAACGGAUAAAAGCUACCCUGGGGAUAACAGGCUUAUCUCCCCCAAGAGUUCACAUCGACGGGGAGGUUUGGCACCUCGAUGUCGGCUCGUCGCAUCCUGGGGCUGAAGUCGGUCCCAAGGGUUGGGCUGUUCGCCCAUUAAAGCGGCACGCGAGCUGGGUUCAGAACGUCGUGAGACAGUUCGGUCCCUAUCCGUCGUGGGCGUAGGAAAUUUGAGAGGAGCUGUCCUUAGUACGAGAGGACCGGGAUGGACGCACCGCUGGUGUACCAGUUGUCUUGCCAAAGGCAUCGCUGGGUAGCUAUGUGCGGACGGGAUAAGCGCUGAAAGCAUCUAAGUGCGAAGCCCCCCUCAAGAUGAGAUUUCCCAUUUCUUCAAGAAAGUAAGACACCUCAGAGACGAUGAGGUAGAUAGGCCGGGAG